GAUAGUGAGCGGGGCUGAGGCAGUAGCAGAGCGAGCCAGAGGCAGGAGGCAGGCAGCGACGGAGCAGCUCUCCUGCUGAAUCUCCAGCCCACAGACGACCCAGAGAGUCGGCGGUCCCGCCUCAGCGCCGCUUCCCAGCACCUCCUGAAUCCAAAGAGCAAGUCGUCCGCUGUGAGGUCACAAGAACAUGACGUGCUACGAAGAGCGUCUGCGGUGACUCCACCUGAGAACGUGUCAGAAGACUGACUGCCCUGAGCUCACGGGUGAGCCUCACUGCUCCUACGUCUCCUCCCUGAGAUUAAUAAGGAUCCUUCAGGAGUUGAUGCAGAGACCUGCAACACCAGGAGCCUGAAUGCUGAUGACCCGGAGCAGACGAAAGAAGCGGGGAAGACGCCAGCACAGGCAUCUGUACAUAAUGUACAGUGCAUAAAGUACCAGUCACUCAAGUGAUUUUAUAGUUUGAAUCGUUUCCAUCACUCACAUCUGCAUCUGCAUAUUUAGGUUUAAUAUUUUAUCAUUUAUUUAUAAUCAAAAUAUGCAAAAAAGAGGAUCAAACUAACAAGCAUUUGGAAUUGAAAUAUUAUCCUAAAGUUUCAGGCAGUUGAUUCUGCAAUAAUACAUCAUGUGUUAUUUGUUUUCAUCUGCAUAUUCAAAAGCUUUUCAUCUGCCAAGUUAACGCAGAUGCCAGUAACAUUUUGAAAACAACAGUGCAGUGGAAGAUGAAAGUCGCAUAAAUUGAAACACGCGGAAUUUUUAUUCACGGAUUAAUAUUUGAGCAGCAUCAUAACAGCCACUGAAAUGAUGUUUUCCGACGUGACGUACGCUCCAAAGUGGUCUGUUUUACGAGUGCGUUGAAAAGCCAGCCUUGUCUAAUUAGUGAGAUGAAUGUAAUCUGUUACCUCACCGCUCGCACCUCAUCUCGCGAGGGCCCGUGUAGUGAUCAAUGGGUCCGUUCUCCGGCGUUGUCACCCCCCCCCAUCGCCACCUGCUCUUCCAUCCCGCCACCCUCCGUUCACCGCAGUUGCAUUAUUAAACUUGUAUAAGAUCAUUAGCAUACAAAGCAGGAAACCCACCGCGCUGGAGUCAUACAUAUUUAUCCGGACGUGGCUGCGUGCACUCGUACUGUGACCCCUUUUACAUGCAGACAUGCGAGCUUUCCUGUGAGGUGGACGUGAGCAGGAGCCCGUCCGUAUUCGGCCGCUGGAUAUUUGCUGGUGGAGCAUCUGAAAGAAACAUGAGCUCUCGUUUGCCCAAAACCGCACAUUAAAACGCGCACAGCUGCCUGUAAGACUAAGGAAAUAUGUGUAUUUGCAGACAGAGCAGAUGGAGUUUAGCUGGGUUCAUCAGAGCGCUUUGCUCCAAGCAUAUCAAAUAUAGUUUACACACAGGAAUUUCAGCGUGUAGUAAUGCCUGCAAUACAUAUUCAUCUGCCGCUCAUUAUCAAGCUGAGAGCGAGGCAAACCGAGAGCAUGGCAAAUAGUUGUAUCACCUGUGAGUUACCUCUCCCCCUUUGAAUGACUGGAAUCAACCCCUCCCCUGUCUACAUCCCCAUUUCCUCUCCUCUUAAAAAUCCAUUUACUAUUCCAAUUUCCCUGCCCUCAUGCAGAUCGCUGCACCCUCACGCGGGCCAUUCUUCUGUACAUCCUCAUGCAGAUCGCCUUCUUCUUCAUCCUUCCAGCUGAGAGCACAAACCCUCCUUAUUCCUGCAACGUGGACUCUCCGUUAAUAUUCCUCCUCUCCCCCCUCCCCUUGCCUCCCUCCUGUGAGAUUGCUGUUGUGUCUUAUGGCUUUUUAUUCCUACGUGAUGGUAGAUGGGUUCAUGUAGGAGUAGAAGCCACUAAACACGCGGUGAGUGCUCAACGCCACCACACACUGAGCUUCCUGUGGAGGUGACGGCUGCCAGGUUCACACCACUGUUUUGCCCGUGUGAUGUGCGCACAUCACAAAACCGGGACGGGGGGUGAAAUGUGAGACUCACAAUUGGUUUUAAGACAAUUGUGCGGCCUGUUGUGUGAAUUUGGACCAAUCUGUGAGCCAGACUCUUGAGUCGCUAGCAGACCUACUUUUCCCACCUGCAUGCCGGCUGCAUGUGCCCUGAAUUUCAAACUCGCUCCUGCAUUUCUCUGCCCCCGGGUCACUGUAAAAAGCCGGAGAUGGAAAGUUCCCGCUAUAGAGAUGAGGACCGGAUGCUGUGCUGUCUGCAGAGGUAGGUGGAGAAUGAUGUUUAACGCGUGGAAUAGGUUUGUUAGCGUCAUUAAGCACGGGAGCAUCCUGUGUGAGCACCCGCUGGUUGAUCAGAUCUGUGAAGUGUGAACAUAACCUAUUACAAAAUAAAGCACUCAUGAAUUUAACAUUUGAAAUUGAUUUUAUUUUUAGAAACUUGUAAAAAUAUGCUUUCUUUCUGCUGUUGCUGUGAAAAAUGACCGUUUGUCGGCUGCAAAUGAUGAUUCAUGAUCAUUUUAAGGGGGAAGAAUCUUUCUCCCCUGUUUUGCAUGUGAAAUAGGAGCAGAUAUCCAGAUUCAGCCUGGCGUCCAAGUAUCUGCAUCCCUCCACUGGACCGAGGCAGCUCAGGGGGUAUUUACAUGUAUAUACAGCACCUACGCUACUAACUUUAUUGGGUUUGAACAGUUUUGAAGCUCGAUGGCAGAAGAAUACGAAGAAUUUCCCGUUAUUCUGCUCUUCUAAACCUUUUCAAGCGUCAGUGUGAAAACUGUAAAUCAGCUCUGCACAAACCUCUUAAAAUCGCAUCCACUCACAAAUUAGGUCCGAGACAUUUGGGCCAUCUCAGGACGGCUAAUAGUGCUAUUAAUCAGCAGUAUCUCUCUGCCUGCGCUGAACUCGGUGUCAACCAAUUAGGCAAGAAAUUCAAAUUAUCCUGCUGCUGGGUCCAGUUGGGUGCUCAGGGGUUUGGGUUUAAAUGUCAACCUUCUGUUUAUAUUUGCUGUAAAAUAAGCUGCACGCGCUCUCCUCCCCGGCAGAAUAAAGUCUUAAAUAGGUUGUUGUCGGGAUCCAAAAACCUGAAUUAUUAAUCCCAGGAUAUUACAAGACUUUGACACAUGCUUGCAAUUGUGUGACAUUACUCUUCUGCACUAACAUGAGGUGGGUAAUUAUUCAAGAUGAAACUGCAAUAGUUAAAGUCUGCUGGGGUUUAAUGAUUUAUUCAGGGCUGUAAGUUGUUAUGAUCUAAUAUUCAGUGGGUGGGAUGGGAAGUUUCUUUUGCUUGCAUUAUCGGUUUAAUUUAUUUUUCAGGUUCCCACUCCUACGUAGAGGUUUUUUUUCUUCCCUACAGAAAGAUGUGGAGGUCUGAGAGAAUUGUAUAGCAGGAGCUGAGUGAGCGUUCGAUCGUGGACCGGCAGGGUUCAUGGGAACGUAAAGGUGGGAAUCAACCGUUUCAGCGUCUGUGUGAGCGAGAGUACAUUAUUUAAAACACCGUUAUUCAAAACAAGGGAGGCUUGUGCUGAAUGGAUCACACUCGCCGGAGGGCGCGUGUGGCUUUUCCCACGUUGGCCAGUUCUGAUCUGACGGCGCCGUGGACCUCGCAUUUCCAAAAUGUCAGAAUGUUCAGAGGAGUGAGACGCUCGGCCUCGCGUGAGCCCUGGAAGUGGUGCCGGAGCCGCACGAGGCCGCGUCAUCCUCGGGUCCGAUAAAAAUGGAAAUCACGGAAUCAGCAUCGGCAAAAUGGGAUUUUCAUCUGACACCUGCAAUAAGGGGGCGUUUGUGUACAGUAGGAUUAAUGUACGAGCGUCGCGCCACUGUAUCCGCCUCCCUCGGGCUACGCUUUGAUUUUCCUGUAAUAAAUAAUGCUCUUUUGUGUUCUGUGUUUCAUUUGUUCCCUGUUGUAACGUCAGCGCUGCUCAAUAAAUUAUGAAUUACACCCAUUCAA